ACAUAGCAGGGGGUUGGAACUGGAUGAGCAUUGCGGUCCUUUUCAACCCAGGCCAUCCUAUGAUCUAUGAUUCUAUGAUUCCACCUCCUCCAGAAAGUGGAGUUAUUUCUUGUUUUGUCCUGCAGACAAGAAUCACUUCCAGUCCAUAUUGCCAGGAGAGGAUCUGGAAAGGCCACAGGGACUGCAGAUGGAAACCCCACUGCCCAGGGCUGCUCUGCUCUGCGCAGCAGGCAGUGAGGGGGAGGCAUGAAAGCCCGGUGGAGAAGCUGAGCACAGACGGUGCUAGGAAACGAGGCAGGGCACAGGGUGCUGAUGCUGGUGGCAAACGCGUACCAAACCGACUCUGCUCUGACGUCUGUGUGAUGGUGAAGAGUCGAAAUGUUGCACUUCAGUGAUUCUCCAGACCAUGCCUGUACUGGGGAAUAAAUUCAGGUACAGUGAGGAGGAAAACACCACAAAUGUCACAAGAAGAAUUUGUGUGAAUCCUGGCAACCCUGCAUGAGCUCUAUGGGUGUGAGAACGUGUCGGAGAUCCCUGCUGCCAGAGCUCCUGACUGUCACUGCUACCAACUGGCACAGCACCAGAUGGGAAUACACCGUCAGCUCCACUACCUUGCUCAAUCAAGGAAACCAACCAGCCUGGAGAACACAAGGACCAUCUGUAGAGGAGCACGUAGGAGAUGUCACAGCAACCCGCUGCAUUCCCUGGCUUCCCACUGGGCUGCGCACUGCUGGUGGGGAGCUCCUGUCUGCGUGCACCUGUGGCUGCGUGAUGGGGAACGGCUUUGGCUUCAGGAGCAACCCCAGCACAGGCUGGACUCGGGCCAGAUGGGAGCCGGGAACAGCUUUUGUGACAAUGAUGGAUGCGGUGUAGCUGCCGAUGGAUGGAGAGCAGACAUCCCCUUGUAUCCUUCCAGACCACUCCAGCAUUCAGUCCUGUGCUACCAUCCUGCCUGAAGGAAGAUGGAUCCAGGAAUACAACAACUGCAGGGUACUUUGUACAAUGCCACGGAUCAUGCCAUACCUGCACCUGAUGCACAAGCAUCACUUUGGGACACAGUCCGGGGGAAAAGGCCUCUGGUAAUGAACAAAUUAAAGUUAAAAUCAGCACUUUAAGUUCCAUAUAUUCAAGGUGAGACAAUAAUUCAAGAAAUAACAGUAAGGGUGUU